GAUGAACGCUGGCGGCGUGCCUAAUACAUGCAAGUCGAGCGAACAGACGAGGAGCUUGCUCCUCUGACGUUAGCGGCGGACGGGUGAGUAACACGUGGAUAACCUACCUAUAAGACUGGGAUAACUUCGGGAAACCGGAGCUAAUACCGGAUAACAUGUUGAACCGCAUGGUUCAACAGUGAAAGACGGUCUUGCUGUCAUUUAUAGAUGGAUCCGCGCCGCAUUAGCUAGUUGGUAAGGUAACGGCUUACCAAGGCAACGAUGCGUAGCCGACCUGAGAGGGUGAUCGGCCACACUGGAACUGAGACACGGUCCAGACUCCUACGGGAGGCAGCAGUAGGGAAUCUUCCGCAAUGGGCGAAAGCCUGACGGAGCAACGCCGCGUGAGUGAAGAAGGUCUUCGGAUCGUAAAACUCUGUUAUUAGGGAAGAACAAAUGUGUAAGUAACUAUGCACGUCUUGACGGUACCUAAUCAGAAAGCCACGGCUAACUACGUG
rnacentral:rRNA from 1 species